GAUUUGGUUCGUGCAAAGCAUGUGUCAGUUAUGUUAGGGUAAAAUCAGCAAAGUAGAUACGACUCUUCCUUUAGAUUUCUCUGAUUUGAUAGCAUAGUAACAAAAUCAGUCUUCUCCUCUAGUCUGCCAUUGGUACUAUUUGGACGUAAUCUUGGAGUUCUCUUCUCAAGUCACAAAACACUUUUGUGUUAAAAGGAAUCCAAAUUACCCUCAGCACUGCUCAUCACUCAUCAAACCUGCUGGUCUGUUGGUUUGGCUCUUUUCAACUGCUGUUGAUGUUAAAAAACACAUUCUUUCUUGUUCUCUCAUCAAGGAGAUACCAUUGCAAUUUUACGGGCAGAGUUGAAAAGUCAAAGGAAACAUGUCAACAAUUUGAAAAAGAAUUCCCUCUGGUCCAAGAUAUUAGAAAAGAUGGAGAGAGAUCUAUGAAAAACAACAACCAGAGGCCAGAGAUCUCAUUUUGAGGUUUAUGGAAGAGAGAGAUUCCAUUCUUCGACAAAAUGCCAAGCUCAACCGAGACCUGAGGCAAAUCCUCAUGGAACAAAGAAAUUCAAAAUUUGUAAUUGCUCCUCUUGUUCAAUGAAGAAACCUUUCAGACUUGAUUCAAAAACUUUUAUCGAAAUUUUGAGUAAGCAAAGUGAGUCAUCAAUAAUACAAAAGUGAUGGAAUUGUUGUUGGACAAACAUUUUCCUUUUGAAUUUUCAACUUUACUGAAGAUCCUUUCAAUUUUCAUUCAAGAUUGUCGAAAAUUUUGAGAUUCAAGAUUCUUCUCCCAGUAAUCGAAAAUUCUUUUAAUUUUGAUUCAAAAUUGUUGUAAAUUUGAUAUUCAAAAUUUUUAUCCUGGUUCAUUUAAGGUCCUUCCAAUUUUAAUUCAUAAUUAUCGAAAAUUUGAAAGAUACAUUAUGAAUAUUUUCGCUAGUCUUGUUACUAUCAUUGUCAGGGGUUUGAAGAAGUUCUUGAGCUUCUUUGAGGGCUCUUAGCCUCUGUUUUCGUGAGGCUGUUGCCACCGCCUCUAUGACGUUUUCUUCCUCUAUCAACAUUGACUAUAUAUUUGUAUAUGAUAUGUCAAAUUCGAAAAAGUAGAACACAAUAUUGAUAAAGCAACUGGUUGGAUUUAUAUGUAUCAACUUUUAUAUUUAUGUA